rnacentral:lncRNA from 1 species
GAUUUGGAGCUAUAAUAACCCCUAAGUCCUCUCUGCAACUUGUUACAGGUCAGGUUAACAGACACGCACACACGUAUCUACAAACUGAGGCAUCACUGCAGCUCUCAGGAGUGCGUGUACGAACUCUGGAGAGGCUCAUAUUCUUUGUUUCCAUGCCGACCCUCAGGAUGGCGUGAGUCUGUUGUCUUUGGUGGGCUGAAGACAGCGAGGUAUCCUGCAGUCCUGAACACUGCUAGGAUGCCCGUGCAUCAGAUAUCAGUUGUGCCCAUCGCCAAAGAGACCACCAACAGUUCCAGCCGGAAUAGAGACAAGAGUAAAGAGAAUGAGGCAAGUACAGGCAUUUAACACAGAGAAUCUGUGAUGUAUGUGGAGUUUUCAUAACAAAUACCAUAGUUUGUUGUUGAUGAUAAAGAUGUAGCCAUCCAUGGUUUUACAUAUGGUUACUAAAGUCUGUUAGUAUUUUGUUAGUACAUUUGUAUUGUACAAUAGUACAUUUUCAUUAUGGUUACUGUUGCACAAGUCCUAAGUUGUGAGUAUUGUCCUAUAAUGACAUUUCUAAUAUUUAGUUUGCACGAAUCUGUAAGAUAAGUAAAAUCCUUCUGCUUUAAUUUUCAGAAGUGAGGAUAAAAAAUGACUCAAUCUCAUGUAAACAGAAAUAUAGCCUAGAGCAGGAGAUGGACGGUGUUGUAUUGGAAGAGAAAUUGCUGCUAUAAAUAGAACUGUAAGGCAGCGUUACAUAUAUUUCAGCCUCUUCAGGGUCAUUGGCAUUUCUUUCAAGUAUAUUGUAAAUCAAACAUGCUGUUCCAUCAAAUCCCUGUUCAGUUUGUUUCAGCAGUGUGAAGGUUUUUAUUUUUUUAUUUUAUUUUUUAUGUGUGAGCAUUAUUGUUAGGCUCAGAUGGCACAUCUACAGUCUGUUUGUUGACCGCUUGAUGCAUAUCAUACACAAACAUGACAAGUGCUGGCUAAAAUCACAGCUUCAAUCAUUUUGAGGGACUAAUCUCUGCUUUUUUCCACAUUGAUUUUUAUUGUGAUUUUAGAUAUACUUGCCCAUUAAAUGGUAUGAAAAAACAUGUUCAGUGUUGUCACAUUAUGUGUAGAUGUCUGGCUAAGCAAAGCUACCUUCAGCAUUUUUUGGCUGACCACGCC